rnacentral:rRNA from 1 species
AAAUUGAAGAGUUUGAUCAUGGCUCAGAUUGAACGCUGGCGGCAGGCCUAACACAUGCAAGUCGAGCGGUAGCACAGAGAGCUUGCUCUCGGGUGACGAGCGGCGGACGGGUGAGUAAUGUCUGGGAAACUGCCUGAUGGAGGGGGAUAACUACUGGAAACGGUAGCUAAUACCGCAUAAUGUCGCAAGACCAAAGUGGGGGACCUUCGGGCCUCAUGCCAUCAGAUGUGCCCAGAUGGGAUUAGCUAGUAGGUGGGGUAACGGCUCACCUAGGCGACGAUCCCUAGCUGGUCUGAGAGGAUGACCAGCCACACUGGAACUGAGACACGGUCCAGACUCCUACGGGAGGCAGCAGUGGGGAAUAUUGCACAAUGGGCGCAAGCCUGAUGCAGCCAUGCCGCGUGUAUGAAGAAGGCCUUCGGGUUGUAAAGUACUUUCAGCGGGGAGGAAGGCGAUAAGGUUAAUAACCUUGUCGAUUGACGUUACCCGCAGAAGAAGCACCGGCUAACUCCGUGCCAGCAGCCGCGGUAAUACGGAGGGUGCAAGCGUUAAUCGGAAUUACUGGGCGUAAAGCGCACGCAGGCGGUCUGUCAAGUCGGAUGUGAAAUCCCCGGGCUCAACCUGGGAACUGCAUUCGAAACUGGCAGGCUAGAGUCUUGUAGAGGGGGGUAGAAUUCCAGGUGUAGCGGUGAAAUGCGUAGAGAUCUGGAGGAAUACCGGUGGCGAAGGCGGCCCCCUGGACAAAGACUGACGCUCAGGUGCGAAAGCGUGGGGAGCAAACAGGAUUAGAUACCCUGGUAGUCCACGCCGUAAACGAUGUCGAUUUGGAGGUUGUGCCCUUGAGGCGUGGCUUCCGGAGCUAACGCGUUAAAUCGACCGCCUGGGGAGUACGGCCGCAAGGUUAAAACUCAAAUGAAUUGACGGGGGCCCGCACAAGCGGUGGAGCAUGUGGUUUAAUUCGAUGCAACGCGAAGAACCUUACCUGGUCUUGACAUCCACAGAACUUAGCAGAGAUGCUUUGGUGCCUUCGGGAACUGUGAGACAGGUGCUGCAUGGCUGUCGUCAGCUCGUGUUGUGAAAUGUUGGGUUAAGUCCCGCAACGAGCGCAACCCUUAUCCUUUGUUGCCAGCGGUCCGGCCGGGAACUCAAAGGAGACUGCCAGUGAUAAACUGGAGGAAGGUGGGGAUGACGUCAAGUCAUCAUGGCCCUUACGACCAGGGCUACACACGUGCUACAAUGGCGCAUACAAAGAGAAGCGACCUCGCGAGAGCAAGCGGACCUCAUAAAGUGCGUCGUAGUCCGGAUUGGAGUCUGCAACUCGACUCCAUGAAGUCGGAAUCGCUAGUAAUCGUAGAUCAGAAUGCUACGGUGAAUACGUUCCCGGGCCUUGUACACACCGCCCGUCACACCAUGGGAGUGGGUUGCAAAAGAAGUAGGUAGCUUAACCUUCGGGAGGGCGCUUACCACUUUGUGAUUCAUGACUGGGGUGAAGUCGUAACAAGGUAACCGUAGGGGAACCUGCGGUUGGAUCACCUCCUUACCUUAAAGAA